GAUGAAGUCCGACUCCCAUGGGAGUCCGAACGGAGUUUACCUAUAAGUGAAGUCGUGAGCGGAGCUCGGCUCCCGUAGAAGUCCGGGCGAAGUCCUCCCGCAGUUGAGGUUGGGGACGAAGUUCGGCUCCCGUAGGAGUCCGGACGAAGUCUGCAAGCAAAGUCGUGGGCGGAGCCCGGCUCCCGUAGGAGUCCGGGCGAAGUCUGCAGGUGAAGUCGUGGGCGAGAUCCG
rnacentral:lncRNA from 1 species